CCCACCUCCGGGUGAAAUCAAAGGUCUCUCUCCACUUGACCCCCUUGUGCCGUGGAAUUUCUGAAACCAAAAGGUGCCCCAAGGUUCAUCCACAAUAAUACUGAGCUGCGUCAGAGUACGCAGAGAGAGAGAGAGUUGAGGAAAGUAGAUCUGGAGCACUCACCUCUCGGGGUUGUGAGCGACCCUUUUCCUCUUUCUGCCCACGAAGAGGUUCCUGGUGCUGGCGAUCAUGCUACACAGUGCGGGACGGCCCUUCAGCCCGACUGUCGGACUUGACAUGCUCCGAGCUGGAGGGAGCGGUGAAACCGAGGAGCGCUCUCUCUCUGUGUGUGUGUGUGUGUGUGAAGUGACGGAGCAGGAACUCUGGGGCUUGCCGUUCUCUGUGUCUGAACUCGUCAGGACGGCGAGCCGCCGCUGGGAGAACACACUCGUCAAACCGAAAGUCCGAUGAGCGUUCUCUCAGCACGACAGUGAAUAAUUCCAGUACCAACUAGCGUGAUCGAUUCAUGCCGAGAUAAAUUACCCACCGUGUCUCCAACUGGCUACUUCACUGACCUGCUGUGUAGAUCUCAUGCCAAGAGAAAUCGAUUCUACAACAGGCAGGGAGGAGCGCCAAGAAGUGCCCAGUCUGUCAGGAAAUUGGCCAAGAGGUGAAAGUGGAGAUAGAUUUCUAAUCAGGAAGGAAUAUGGAGGAAAAGGCGGGAAAGUGGGGUUGAGGAUGAUCAGAUCAGCUUCGACCUCAUUGAACUGUGGGGCAGACUCGAUGGGCUGAAUGGACUAUGCCUCGUGGUUUUUUUUUACUUUGGUCAGUCACAAACGACGUCUCCCAUGAGCUGAUGUUUUCAGGAAAGCCCACACCCCACUGGCCCCUGGGAGUCUCCUGCCUUGGCCCAGUUCUGAAUGGGGCAGUUGCUUCGGUAUUCUGGGCACAUGAACUUGGAGUGGCUGUAUGCCAGACCAAAGCAGGCACACUCCAAUGGGAAUUUAGCCCAUCAGAGAAUCCUCACCCCCCAUGGAUGGACAACACUCUGACUGAGGGUGAAUGAGGGAGUUGGGACACUCUGGUUCAACUGUUUGAUACAGUGCUGUUCAAAACCAACCCAAACAGGGUUGUGAACACAGUAGUUUCUCCCUCAAUAGCACAGAAUUGCAAAGUGAUUUCCUUUCACCUAGCAGGAGACCCAGCAUUGGUGCUCCAAGGGUCAGAAAGUUGGCUACUGCUUCGAGAUGUUUGAAAAGUAACACACAAUGCACAAGAAUGAAUAUUUUUGCACAAUGAAAUCCAUUUUCAAAGAUGGUUAUAUUACCGACUGAUGUCUGAUCUGCAAAGUGGUGGGGUCAGUCACUCUCAGUACAACUCAGACUCUCAUUACAGCUCACAUCUCAGUCAUCACGGGUAUAGGGAAUGCAUCCGAGCAAGCCUUUGAGUGGUUCAGUGGGUAAUGCACUCACCCCUGAGACAUAUGAUGGCCCAGUGGUUAGCACUGCUGCCUCACAGCGCUAGGGGCCUGGGUUCACGCCCAGCCUCGGGCGACUGUGUGGAGUUUGCACAUUCUCCCCCUGUCUGUGUGGGUUUCCUCCGGGUGCUCCGGUUUCCUCCCACAGUCCAAAGUUAUGCAGGUUAGAUGGUUUGGCCACAGGAAAUUGUCCCAUAGUGUCCAGGGAAGUGGAGGUUAGGGUAGAUUGGCCAUGCUAAAUUGUCCCAUAGUGCCCAAGGAUGUGGAGGUUAGGGUAGAUUGGCCAUGCUAAAUUGUCCCAUAGUGCCCAAGGAUGUGCUGGUUAGGGUGGGUUAGCUGUGGGAAAUUACCCUGUCGUGUGCAGGUAGGUGGGUUAACCAUGGAAAAUGCAGAGUGGGGGGCUGGUUCUGGGUGGGAUACUCUUUGGAGGAUUGGUGCAAAGGUGAUGGGCUGAAUGGCCUCUUUCUGCACUGUAGGGAUUCUAUAAAUCUGUGGUUCACUCCAGGGUCUGGAGUACUGAGUCCAGUUCUGGUCAUGCUGUUAUAGGAAGGCUAUUAUGAAGCUGGAGUGGGUUCAGAACAGAUUUACCAGGAUGUUGCCGGGUAUGGAAGGUUUGAGUUACAGAGAAAGGCUAGGACCUUUUUCACUGGAGUGUAGGAGGUUGAGAAGUGAUCUGAUGGAAGCUUAUAAAAUAAUGAGGGGUACAGAAUGGUAAUUGUCGUUUCCCUAGGGUGGGGAGUUCAAGACUUCGGGGAGGGGGGGAACAAUAUUUUUAAGGUGAAAGGAGAGAGAUUUUAAAAAGACACGAGGGACAAAUGGUUUACACAGAGGGUGGUUCGUGUGUGGAAUGAACUUCCUGAGGAAGUGGUGGAUGUGGGUACAGUCACAACAUUUAAAAGAAAUUUGGAUAAGGACAUGAAGGGGAAAGGUUUGGAGGGACAUGGGCCAGGAGCAGGCAGGUGGGACUAGGUUAGGAUUAUGUUCAGCAUGGACUGAAGGGUCUGUUUCCAUGCUGUAUGAUACUAUGAUACUCUAAUUCUGCACUGUUAGUAAAUGUUGCCUUGCAGACAAGCUGGUAAACCAAGGGUCCUGUCUGUUCAGGUGGAUGUAGCAGAGGGUCCAGUACUGCUGUGUCGAUGGAUGAGAGAGGAAUUUCCCGCUGCUAUAGUAACUGCUGUGUACAUAUCAUCACAAGCAAAGGUUGAGGAAGCUCUGGAUGUGCUGUACUCCACCACUAACACCCCGAGGCCCUGCUUAUUGUAAUUGGCGACUUCAAUCAAACCAAUCUAAGGAAGGUGUUACCCAGGUACCACCAGAACAUUACCUGCCCCAGCAGGGGCCUGAACAUUUUCGAGUACUGCUACACCACUGUGAAGGAUGCCUACCGCUCCACCCCAUGCCCUCAUUCUGGGAACUUGGACCACAGUACCAUGUUUCUUCUCCCGGCUUACAGGCAAACGAUUAAGCAAAAUUCCCCUCGUGGAUGCAGGUCCAGUGCUGGUCGGCAAAGGGAGAGGAUCAACUCCGGUUAUGUCUGGAAUCGGCUGAUGUUCAAACAGUAAGCAGGUAUCUUGGAUGAGUACGCCACGACGGUCACAGACUUUAUCAGCAAGGUGUGUGGAGGACUGCAUACCAACGAAGUCAACCCGGGUGUUCCCCAACAGGAAACCCUGGAUGAAUCAUGACAUACAGAACCUGCUAAUAACCAGGCAUGAGGCCUUCAGAUCAGGAGACCCACUCAAAUAUAAGGAAUCCAAAUGUGACCUUCGCAGAGCCAUUAGGACAACCAAGGACCAAUACCGAUCCAAACCAGAGACCCAGACAGACACCCAGCGACUAUGGCAAGGACUGAAUAACAUCACAGGUUCUAAGAAGCAGUGCAAGAUAGCAGAUAAUGACACAUUCCUCCCAGAUCGUCUCAACGCCUUCUAUACUCACUUUGAGCAGAAUUUCGGUGGAGAGGUAACAUCCACUCCGACAAGUCCUAAUGAACCUAUCCCAAAGUCACUCCAUCAAAGGUCAGAUCAGUUUUCCUUCCUGUGAAUCCAAGGAAAGCGAUGGGACCAGACGGAGUAUCAGGCCGUGCACUCAGAGCAUGUGCAGAUCAACUGGCAGAGGUCUUCCUGGACAUCUGCAACUUCUCCCUGCAACAGGCCACUGUCCCUGCCUGUUCCAAGAGGGCCAUCAUCAUCCCUGUGCCUAAGAAGGCUCAUGCAGCAUGUCUCAAUGACUACCGCCCAGUGGCCCUAACAUCUGUGGUCAUAAAGUGCUUUGAAAGGCUGGCCAUGGCAUUAAUCAACUCCAGCUUCCCCACUACUCUUGACCCACUCCAAUCUGCCUAUCGGACCAACAGAUCCAUGUCAGAUGCCAUAUCAUUUGCCCUUUACUUCUCCCUAGAACAUCUUGACACCAAGAACAGCUACGUAAGAAUCCUACUCAUUGACUACAGUUCAGCCUUCAACAUUAUUAUCCCCUCAAGACUGGUUACUAAACUUAGUGAUCUCGGACUAAGCCCCACUCUCUGCAACUGGAUCCUCAGUUUCCUGACCCACAGGCCACAAUCAGUGAAGAUUGGGGAUAAUAUUUCAUCCUCACUAACACUCAACACUGGAGCCCCCCAGGGGUGCGUACUCAGCCCCUUACUGUACUCACUGUAUACCCAUGACUGCAUCACCAAAUACCAGACUAAUGCCAUUUAUAAGUUUGCUGAUGACACUACCAUAGUCGGCUGAAUCUCAGAUGGCGAUGAAACAGACUACAGACGGGAGGUGAAGACCUGGAAAAAUGGUGCACUGAGAACAACCCAGCUCUCAACGCCGGCAAAACCCAGGAACUCAUUAUUGACAUUCGGCAGGAUGUUACUCAUGCCCCCCCGCUACACAUUAACAGCACAGAGUGGAACCAAUGGAGAGUGUCAAGCUCCUGGGAGUGGUCAUCCACAACAAGCUUUCUUGGAUUCUUCAUGUGGAUGCACUGGUUACAAAGGCCCAACAACAUCCCUCCUUCCUCAGGCAGCUGAGGAAAUUUGGCAUGAUGGUGAAAACCCUUGCCAACUUUUAUAGGUGCACCAUCAAGAGCAUUCUGUCUGGAUGUAUCACUCCCUGGUACGGCAACUGUACCAUUCAAGAUCGGAGACGGUUACAGAGUGUGGUGAACUCGGCCCGGACAAUCACAAAGGCUAUUUACCUAUUACUUACUUAUUGAUGCUACUUAACUCUGUGACCUGCCUGUAUUGCUCGCAAGACAAAGCUUUUCACUGUCCCUUGGUACACAUGACAAUAAAAUUAAUUCAAUUCAA